GGCACGGUGACGCAGUUGGAAAGCGUUGGCCUCACAGUUCUGAGGACCCGGGUUCAAUCCCAGCCCUCCCUGUGUGGAGUUUGCACGUUCUCCCCGUGCCUACGUUGGUUUUCUCGGGCACUCCGGUUUCCUUGGACAUCCCAAAAAACAUGCAACAUUAAUUGGACACUUGAAAUUUGUGUGAUUGUGGAUACUUCUGGUUGGUUCUCUCUAUGUGGGCUGCGAUUGGCUGGCGGCUGUACCCUGCCUCCUGCCCGUUGACAACUGGGAUAGGCUCCAGCACUCCCGCAACCCUUGUGAGGAUAAGCGGCAAAGAAAAUGGAUGGAUGCAGAAUUGCCAAAUCUCAUACAAUUUACACACUGCACUUUUUUGGGUGAUUAUUUCAACGUUGUGAUUUCCACAGCUGCAUGAUGAGGCAUUAUCUGUUGUCAAGCCCAGACGUGUACAAACAACUGCCUCCUUCGCUGGUCGAGGAGGAGGACUGCACAAGAUUCGAGGAAAGAGGAUAUGGAGGAGGACGUGAGAGACAGGGGGAGGACUGCACAAGAUUCGAGGAAAGAGGAUAUGGAGGAACCCGGAGUACCAAGAGAAAACCCAUGCAGGCACGGUGAGAAGAUGCAAACUCCACACAAGCAAGGCUGGGCUAUGAAACCCAAUCCUCAGAAUGCCUGUGAGGCAGAUGUGAAAAGAAGUCGACCACUGUGCUGCCUUUAUUUAAUUUCAAUAUAUUAUUUUAUUUAUUUUGAAGUAUAUUUUCCCAAUAUUUUUCACAUUGCAUUUUAUG